UUAAAGAUUAUGAAGAGGAGAGUAAGUAUAGAGCCUUGAUUUUAGCGAGCUGAUAAUGGUGUGAGAUCAGUAUUAAGUCUAUAUGGAAGAACACCUCGGAAUUUCUAACCGAAAUUACAUGUAAGAGUAGAUUUAGACGAGACCAAACCGUUAAAUUUGGGGAGCAUAAUAAAUGUGCUUAUUAAAGAGAUCAUAUUUAUGAUAAGUUAGGUGGUACCGCGAAUAUAUAACCUUCGUCCUGAUA
rnacentral:ncRNA from 1 species